ACGACCCCACGUCUCGCGGGAUUACCCGCUGAGUUUUUGCACAUCUCUAUGCGGAGGAGAAGAAACUUACAAGGAGUCCCCUAGUAUCGGCGAGCGA
rnacentral:rRNA from 1 species